rnacentral:misc_RNA from 1 species
GAAAUGCGAUAAGUAAUGUGAAUUGCAGAAUUCACUGAAUCAUCGAAUCUUUGAACGCACCUUGCGCUCCUUGGUAUUCCUUGGAGCAUGCCUGUUUGAGUAUCAUGAAAUCUUCAAAGUAAAUCUUUUGUUAACUCAAUUGGUUUCUACUUUGGUAUUGGAGGUCUUUGCAGCUUCACACCUGCUCCUCUUUGUUCAUUAGCUGGAUCUCAGUGUUAUGCUUGGUUCCACUCGGCGUGAUAAGUUAUCUAUCGCUGAGGACACUGUAAAAGGUGGCCAAGGUAAAUGCAGAUGAACCGCUUCUAAUAGUCCAUUGACUUGGACAAUACUUUUAUGAUCUGAUCUCAAAUCAGGUAGGACUACCCGCUGAACUUAAGC